rnacentral:rRNA from 1 species
UACAGAGGUCUCAAGCGUUGUUCGGAUUCAUUGGGCGUAAAGGGUGCGUAGGUGGCGCUGUAAGUCGGGUGUGAAAUUUCGGAGCUUAACUCCGAAACUGCAUUCGAUACUGCGGUGCUUGAGGACUGGAGAGGAGACUGGAAUUCAUGGUGUAGCAGUGAAAUGCGUAGAGAUCAUGAGGAAGACCAGUGGCGAAGGCGGGUCUCUGGACAGUUCCUGACGUGAGGCACGAAGGUCAGGGGAGCAAACGGG